GAUACUGGUUAACUGCACCAAGUCCUUUACAACUGUGAUCCUUAGAGGAAUCCACGUGGCUUUUCCUCCACUCAGGGGACUGGUUUGUGAGAAUCCUUCUUUUGCCUUAUAAGCGCUUAAUGGACACGAAAUAAUGCUCUUUGGAGGAAAUCUUUCUUGCUGUUCCAAGAUGGUCCAUUCACAGACAUUUAUUGAGCAUUUACUUUGUACCAAGAUCUGCUAUAAGUGGAUGUUAUUUCAGAGACUGUGUUUCUACCCAACAAAGCUGUUGAAGUGUUUCAGUUAUUUCACCAAUUCCUGAGUAUAUGUUCUGAUGUAGUUGGUGUCAAGUGGAAGUGAAAGAAAAGUCAGGGCAGUGAGCUUGAAUUAGGGGAUCGCAGUCUCAUUCAGAAUCAAACACCAUAGGAGGAGCUCAAUGAAAGCUCCAAAGAGGCUCCAUGAUGUAAAGUCUCAUUCUGAAGGGCAUCCCACAUCCAUUAUUUAGGAAUUGAGAGGGAAGAAAUCUCUGAGCACUUGAUUAAUUGGGAGAAGGGUUUAUGAACAAGGUAGAACUUGAACUGGAUUUUGCAGGAUGGGUGACAGGGCUGGUGAGGAGAGAAAAAUCUCUGAAAUGAGCAGGGUUUGAGAUGUCCUCCUGUUCAGCCUCCACUCUGUGCCCUGUUGAUUUGUUCAUUAAACCCAUGAUCAGAAGGACAGAGCUCCUCUGAGUUCUUGGGUAGUUCGGAAUUUGGGGUCUGGUCCAGUAUCUGGGACUGGCUGGAGGCCAAGUUUGAUGUCUUAUAGCCAUAGUGAUGUGGUCGUAUGUAUGACAUCCAUCAAGGUCCUGUGUGGGCAGGUGCCUACAUGACCUCUUUGCCCCUUCUGACUGAGCUUUACUGAAGGGGAGUCUCUCACAGGAGGGGAAGAGAAACAGCUUUUCUCUCUGUGAGACCAGGAAGAGACGUAACAUUCACUGCCCUUUUCUACCUCACUCUUAGGCUUAUUUCUGCUUUUUGAGUCUUGGUUACUCAAAGGAUGUGGAAGAUCCUGCCAGAAACCCUUGCAACAGAGAAGGAAUAAACUCUGCCUGCUCAUUGGGAGAUGAUUAACUGGGAGGUCUUGAAGCUUUUGGUUAUCAGAAAUAAUGCUGCCAUGAACAUGAGUGCUCCAAUAUCUGUUCAAGUCCUUGUUUUUACUUCUUUUGGGUAUACACCCAGAAGUGGAAUUGCUGGAUUCUAAGGGAAAAGAGAAGCCAGUUGGAGACAGGAUGGACCACUACCUCUGGUGAAGCAGAGAUGACAUCUUUGGUUGGUUCCUUCUCCCAGACUUUCCACCAGCUUCAAAUGACACUUUGAGUUGGGAGGAUAACCCGUGGGAGCCAGGCCAAACUAUUCAAAAGGAUUUCUUUCUGAAUAAGUGUCAUUGACUUAAUGACUCAAGAGCGGGGAUGAGUGCGUAAGGACAGAGCACGGGGCCGAAUGGACAGAUCCUUGCCCGACCUGUGGUGGUAUUUCUUCCAAUUGCAGGUUGAUGAGCUCAAAGCAGAAAUGGCCCAGUCCCUUCAAGAGAUGGCACUGCCCACUUCACUCCACAUUAAGAGAAGUCUUGACACUAUCACUUGCACUCCCAUUAUUGCCACUAUCUCUACAAAAUCAAACAUUACAGACACACAUUCUUGUGGGAGGGCAGUAGGCAUGAGAAGGAAUUAUUUCCUCCAUCAGAAUCUUUCUUCAGAUGUUCUGGCUUGGGACUUGCUGUGGCGUGAAGGGGAUGGACUUUCUAUAUACCUGGGGGAUGAGCUUGGAGAGAAGAACUCUCUUUGGAGGCUUUCAGUAGAAGAAUGUAUUCUGUCUUGGGAAUAUGUUCAGCAUAUUCAGAGCUAGUGAAUGCCUGGCACCUGAAAAUAAGUGAUCCCCACUGAGGGUCACCAUGGCGAUUCAACAGCUAGAAGGGUCUGGAGGAGAUGCACAUGAGACCUGAGGUUGGUACUAACUAUGCGAAAAUAGGAAACUUUCUCAUCUUUCCCAGCAUCCUUUUCCUCCUGUGUAAAAUGGGAGCAAUUGCCUUUGUUUACAGGGCUGUUAGAAAGUUUAGAUGAGACAAUAGGCAUAAAAGUACUCAAUCAGAGGCUAACAUGAGUGCUAUAAAGACAAAAGAGUGCUGGUAAUUCUGAGCAGGCAGAGGUUAAUGUGUGGAGUCAUCAGAGAGUCCGGUGGAGAAGAUGAGCUAGACACAUUGAAUUCCUUGAAUUGUUGAUGAUUUUUCAGCUUUUAUCUUAACGUUACAAUAAUAAUACGUGCUCAUUGUGAAAAAUUUUGGGUGGGGAACAUAAACAAGAAAAUUGAAGUCUUUUCUAGUCUUGUCACUCUAGUCAAGCACUCUUAUCAAUGCUUGUUAACAUUUCUGGGAAAUCUUUACCACAUGUAACUUGGGUGAAAGAGAAGAGAGAGAAAAUUCUGGUCAUUUACUACUGUUUGAACAUAGAGGCUUGGCUUAAGCAAGGAGAACAUUUGGGUCAGGGGUGAGAAACUGUAGCAGAAGAUAAAGUUGGAGACAGAUCAGACAGGUUCUGUAUGCAAAGGCAUCAAUAGUUUCCCUUCUGAUUUUUUUAAAAGGAAAGUCGUAAAACCUUAACUUUCUGUCUCUCUUCCUGCUCUUUCACCUUCUGAUCUUUAUCAAUGCUCUCAAACAAAUUGACACGAAUUGCCAUGGGAAAGGCUAUUACCUAGCCAAGAGAACAAUGGGAUUGAGGUGCCAGAGUCAGUUGUCCUCUCCUAUGAAAUAAAUUGUGGGUCUGUGCUGGAUUCUUGUAUGGGUGGCCUCUUGGUUUAUUAAUGAUUGGAACACUUUGGAAACUUCAAUCCCUGAACCUUGCUGGAACUGGGACAUGCUCCCCCAACCUCCACAUCUUUUAUUUUCUUUCGAAACUUUAUUUUUAUUAAAGUAUAAUUGAUUUACA